rnacentral:tRNA from 1 species
AGGUGCUUAACUCAGUGGUAGAGUAUCGCUUUUACAUAGCGAUUGUCGUAGGUUCAAAUCCUACAGUACCUA